UCAACGACAUGCUCUGCUUCUCUAGCUUGUAGGGGUAUGAGGAGAGAGCUCUAUUGUUUGCAGCGGCUGCAUCAUUUCGACAAGUGAUAUGAUUGAUCUUUGCUAUGUGGACCAAUGGCAUGAUCUGUACCUAAGGUUGGAGAUGCUGAAUUCGAACACGUGAGAAAUCACUGAUGCGCAUGGCUGGCAGCUUUCGCACGAAGAAGUAAAAUUGGCAGGACCAAUUAGGAUGCAUACCUGAAGGAGUGAAUCUACUGGUUCAGCUGAAAAUUGAUCUCUAUUUGGUUUCUGAUUUUGCGUUUGGUUUUGCCGUCCGCUCGUCCUUGGUAUGCUCAUCCAUCUUGGCUGCUCUGCUUGCCUGCUUCUCCUCUCUAACUCAGGUUCUGCGAUCUCUUGUGUUGCUGCAUCGCGAUCUUCUGCUUUGUUGCAUCUCUGUUAUGUCAUCGAGAAUGUGUCCGCUUAUUUCAGUCGUUAUACAUGUUUUGGAGGUCGUGGUGGCGGCGUAGUGCGGUGUGCUUUAUGACGCUUUCGAAUCUGUGUGAGGUUGCAGAGGACGUGUCUGUACUUGCUGGGGUAGAAUUCAAAUUGUGAGGGAUGGUUGUGCUCAGAUUUGGUCGCUGCUGGUCGGUUCUUGACUUCAGCGCAUGAAAACCUGCAACUGCUAUCAAGCGAACCACAGGAGGGAGCAGCAGGCAUAGAAGAAAUCGCAAGCCAAUUUUGCUCAGCUGUAGCAUCUUCUACUGACAAUAAGUCUGCACAGCAGCCCGGUGAGGCUGAUGUUCUUUCUCAGUAUAAGCCAACAAUGAAGAAACUGACCAAGCUAUCUUUCAUGAUCAGUUACACACCAAGCCUAUAUUUUUGCUGCUUCUACAUGUUGCUAUGAUGGCCAUUCAGCCCAUUUUCUUGAACCUGCACUACAACGAGAGAUCUGGGCAGCUUCUUUGUGGCUUCCAAACUUGAAA